rnacentral:rRNA from 1 species
GAUGAACGCUGGCGGCGUGCCUAAUACAUGCAAGUCGAGCGAACAGACGUGGAGCUUGCUCUUCUGACGUUAGCGGCGGAAGGGUGAGUAACACGUGGAUAACCUACCUAUAAGACUGGGAUAACUUCGGGAAACUGGAGCUAAUACCGGAUAAUAUAUUGAACCGCAUGGUUCAAUAGUGAAAGACGGUUUUGCUGUCACUUAUAGAUGGAUCCGCGCCGCAUUAGCUAGUUGGUAAGGUAACGGCUUACCAAGGCAACGAUGCGUAGCCGACCUGAGAGGGUGAUCGGCCACACUGGAACUGAGACACGGUCCAGACUCCUACGGGAGGCAGCAGUAGGGAAUCUUCCGCAAUGGACGAAAGCCUGACGGAGCAACGCCGCGUGAGUGAUGAAGGUCUUCGGAUCGUAAAACUCUGUUAUUAGUGAAGAACAAAUGUGUAAGUAACUAUGCACGACUUGACGGUACCUAAUCAGAAAGCCACGGCUAACUACGUG